rnacentral:lncRNA from 1 species
GAUUAAGAAUAGAAGCCGGUUUGUUUUGCCGAAAUUGAAGUUCAGGUUGAAGUAGCCUUUCAGGUGAACCAGAAUUCAGGUAAAAGUUACUUUUCUUUCGUUGUUUAUUUGUCAGGAAGUGAACGGUGUAGAAGUUGAAAAUUUUUUCCUUUUUUUUUGUUUUUAAUUGGGGGUGGGCUGAAGGUAGGUACGCUAAAUUGGAUAGUUUGAAUUUUCUUCAAAGGCAAAGUUACAGUGAAGUAACCACUUUACUGCUCUCCACGUCCGGUGAAACAAAUACAGCACCAAUAAACGUUUCUCUAGAAGAUAUUUCUAUCAUGCAGAUAAUUGAAUGUUAAAACCUAGGACCUGUUUGGCUCUGCCGUAGGGCGUAGGGUUGCUUAACAGAAUGUUGUUUAAAGAACGCUAUAUUCAGAAAUCACAUAUACGAAAAUAUCCCUAGCAACUUCUUUUUACUAUAAAAUUACAAAUUUCAUUUCUACUUCACAUUGCAGCGAAAGAUUUAUGUUUUAAGUUUUUCCAAACACUUAGCUAGAAGUAGCUGUUGCUGAAAGUAGAAGCAGAAGUGAGACCAAGCAAUCGUCUAAGCAAAACUCAAAUUUCUACAUCGCAUGGCUUUUAAAGCCUUUUUUUUUUAAAAAA